rnacentral:tRNA from 1 species
UUGACCUAUCGUAUAAAGGUUAUUACGGUGGACUGUUAAUCCACUUAUCCUGGUUCGAGUCCAGGUGGGUCAGCCAA